rnacentral:rRNA from 1 species
AUUGAACGCUGGCGGCAUGCCUUACACAUGCAAGUCGAACGGUAACAGGUUAAGCUGACUAGUGGCGCACGGGAGAGUAAUGUAUCGGCACGUGCCCAGUCGUUGGGGAUAACUGCUCGAAAGAGCAGCUAAUACCGCAUACGACCUGAGGGUGAAAGCUGGUGUUCGCUAUUCCUUGCGCGAUUGGAGCGGCCGAUAUCAGAUUAGGUAGUUGGUGAGGUAAAGGCUCACUAAGCGGACGAUCUGUAGCUGGUCUGAGUGGACGACGAGCCACACUGGGACUGAGACACGGCCCAGACUCCUACGGGAGGAGGAGGAGGGGAAUUUUGGACAAUGGGCGAAAGCCUGAUCCAGCAAGGCCGCGUGCGGGAAGAAGGCCUUCGGGUUGUAAACCGCUUUUGUAAGGGAAGAAAAGGUUCUGGCUAAAACCUGGGACUCAUGACGGUACCUGACGAAUAAGCACCGGCUAACUACGUG